UUUGAUACCCAAAAUCCCGAAGCCCCCGUUUACAUAUUAAAUCUGGCUUUUUAUAGCCGAAAGAAAGAAAAAAAUUUGUCUUCGUUUCUGCUUGCGUGUUUGUUUCUCUUUGCAGGUGCAAGUGGCAUGGGAGCGGCAGAGCAGGUGGAGCAGGUGAGCAGCGAUGGGACGUGCGGCGGCCAGCAAGUGAACGGCGGAGUUGGUGGGUCUGCU
rnacentral:lncRNA from 1 species